ensembl:lncRNA
AUGAGGGCUCAAAGCGCUUUUGUUAUUAUAUGGACUGCGAUGGUUCUGCAUUCGUCUGUCAUCAAAGUUUCUUCUGCUAGCAGCCCAUCAAUUUCUUUUUUGAAGAGCACCGUUUCAGAUUCAGUAGCCACAACAGCUCCUGCAACAUCCAUCAGUCCAAGUGAAGGACCUCAGACUGUCUCUUCUUCAGCCAGUGGUGCGAUCCAGACGACACAAACAGCUCCACCAUUUACCACCACUUACCCUCAGACAUCUCAGAUCUCCCUGACCAGCAGUUCAAAGGUCACUGGACCUGCUCCUUUGGAAGACCAGGAUGAAUCUUCUGAACUGGAUGUGGGGGAUCAAGAGUCAGGGAAGGUUCCCCACCGCCCUACAUUGCCCCUGGACCCCCUGCUCGCCGCUCUGGUCACCAUUUUCAUUAUUUGCACUGCCAUGGUCUCAGCCGUCCUCUUCCUCAGGUUCCGUCAGAGGAGUGAGCAUCCAGAAUUCCACCGGCUUCAAGACCUUCCUAUGGAUGAUCUUCUAGAAGACACGCCUUUGUCAAGAUGCACCUAUUAG